rnacentral:pre_miRNA from 16 species
ACGCGCCCAAUUACCUGAUCCGCUGUCGCUAAAGUUUUUCAAAACUGAAACUUUGGCACUUCGCAGAUACGGUAAUAGGGGUUGA